AACUCAACUAAUAAAUGACUAGAAAUAGUUAUAAGGUGCUGUCGCUCGCGUUAUGACAGACAAAACUACUCUGCCAUGUCUCUGUCUGUGCGGAAUACAUAAAGGCUCUGCCUUGAAUUAAUCACUCGCUCUUUAAUGGAUCUUUGAGGAUCGCGCUUGACGCAGUGAGGAGCUGCAGCUCUUUGUAUUCCGAGGCCAAGAGGAACCUUGUGUGUGUGUGUGCGCGCGUGAUUUUUUUUUUAACCCUCGUCCGAUAUCUACUGCCUCUUAGAAAAUGUCAAGGGGGUACAUGGUGACAUAGGGACCCCGGUUUGGUUACGGAGAGACUCUUGCUUUGCUCUGCGAAAGAGGGAUAGGCCAGCUACUGAUGGCGAUUCUCAGACAUGCAUGUGAUCACUAGACAGUUUAACCAGGGGUGCACCUCUGGGCCUAUGAAUGAGACUAAAAUGGUGGAAGAGAAGAAAAGACAAGAGGAUGAAAGCCAUCAACAAUGCUCUACCCUGGGGAAAUAAGCACAGGCCAUUUUGAAUUGGUGAAACAUUAAGACCCAGCUCUAGCACUCCACUAGUGUGAAAACUUCUCCAUUGGAGACUUAACCUGUAAAUACAUAAACUAUGGUCAGUGGGUUUAAUAAGGGGCUGACAUAUCAGUGCAGAAACCCUCAACUCAUGUGAAAUAAUUCUCUGGACCAGAGACUGGACAUUUUGUCCCUUGGCUAAAGGGAAAGGGUUUAUUACCCUACUUAAAUACUGUGAGGCUCCAUCCAGCCUAGUUCAAACUCAAGUGGUACCCCAAGCU
rnacentral:lncRNA from 1 species